CCUGAGGGAGAGAAAUUGGUGAGACACAGAGUAAGGCACAAUCCCAGGAUUCUUGCUCCAGAGCUACUAACAGCAAGUCAAGGCCAGAGUCCCCGGACCAGAAAGGAUGUUCUCCAAUGAGCAAGGCACUAUACUGAGGCCAGCAGGACCUGUAUAUGCUAAGAAAGGCUUCCCUGCGCCUUUCUGCCUCCGCCAGGUCCACCUGCAAAGCGCUUCUCAGCUGCUCUGCGGCCUCCACUCUGCUGCAUAGAGACUGGUUCUCCUGCUCCAACUACUGGCCGGAAAGAGAAGAGAAAGAGUGCAGGGCAUCAAAGCUAUAACUGGGAGCAGCCCUGCCUAAUCCACUGAGGACUCUGUCCUAUUGAGGCUAAUCUUCAGAUAAGCCAGCCCGGUCCUGGGAACCACACCUUCGCUCACCUGGAGAAGCUGCUGGUUCAGUUCAACUUUAUCUAAAGCCAAAGCCUCGUUUAAGGCCCCAAGCUUGACAGCUGCAGCUCGAAGAUCAGCUACCUCUGCCUUCAGGCUGUUCUCAGAACCUGACAGCUCCACAAUGGACUGUUCUGCCUAAAAACAAAAGGGUUAAAGUGUUUCCUACUUUGAGUUUUCAGGAACAGUAAAUCACACUCCCAAUA